GGUUCCAUGGUAACAGCAGUUGGACAUGGGUCAGUCGAUCCUAAGAGAUAGGGUAGCUCCGUUUUAAAGUGCUUGAUUUUUCAAGCCGCCUAUCGAAAGGGAAUCCGGUUAAAAUUCCGGAACCAGAAUGUGGAUCUUUAGUGGCAACACAAAUGAACUUGGAGACGCUGGCAAGGGCCCCGGGAAGAGUUAUCUUUUCUCCUUAACAGUCUACCACCCUGAAAUCAAUUUAUUUGGAGCUAGGGUUCAAUGACUGGUAGAGCACAACACCUCUGUUGUGUCCGGUGCGCUCUUGACAGUCCUUGAAAAUCCAAGGGAAUGAAUAAUUUUCACG
rnacentral:rRNA from 12 species